rnacentral:rRNA from 1 species
GAUGAACGCUGGCGGCGUGCCUAAUACAUGCAAGUCGAGCGAACGGACGAGAAGCUUGCUUCUCUGAUGUUAGCGGCGGACGGGUGAGUAACACGUGGAUAACCUACCUAUAAGACUGGGAUAACUUCGGGAAACCGGAGCUAAUACCGGAUGAUAUUUUGAACCGCAUGGUUCAAAAGUGAAAGACGGUCUUGCCGUCACUUAUAGAUGGAUCCGUGCUGCAUUAGCUAGUUGGUAAGGUAACGGCUUACCAAGGCAACGAUGCAUAUCCGACCUGAGAGGGUGAUCGGCCACACUGGAACUGAGACACGGUCCAGACUCCUACGGGAGGCAGCAGUAGGGAAUCUUCCGCAAUGGGCGAAAGCCUGACGGAGCAACGCCGCGUGAGUGAUGAAGGUCUUCGGAUCGUAAAACUCUGUUAUUAGGGAAGAAAAUAUGUGUAAGUAACUGUGCACAUCUUGACGGUACCUAAUCAGAAAGCAACGGCUAACUACGUG